rnacentral:misc_RNA from 1 species
GUAACAAGGUUUCCGUAGGUGAACCUGCGGAAGGAUCAUUACCGAGCGUUUGGCAGCCCUGUUCCAGGGUUGCCUACCUCCCACCCGUGACUACCGUACCUUGUUGCUUCGGCGGGCCGCCGUCAGGCCCCCGGGGCGGGGGAGAAAUCCCCCCCCUUCCGGGGCAGCGCCCGCCGGAGACACCUUGAAACUCUUUGUGUGAAGAUUGCCUCUGAGUUUGACACAAAAUAGCCAAAACUUUCAACAACGGAUCUCUUGGUUCCGGCAUCGAUGAAGAACGCAGCGAACUGCGAUAAGUAAUGUGAAUUGCAGAAUUCAGUGAAUCAUCGAGUCUUUGAACGCACAUUGCGCCCCCUGGUAUUCCGGGGGGCAUGCCUGUCCGAGCGUCAUUGCUACCCUCCAGCACGGCUGGUGUGUUGGGCGCCGCGUCCCCUCCCCUUCCGGGGGGGACGGGCCCGAAAGGCAGCGGCGGCACCGUCCGGUCCUCGAGCGUAUGGGGCUUUGUCACCCGCUCUGCAGGGCCGGCCGGGGCUCGCCUCGACAGUCAGUCUUCUUUUUUUUCUAAGGUUGACCUCGGAUCAGGUAGGGAUACCCGCUGAACCUAAGCAUAUC